AUUGAACGCUGGCAGCAGGCCUAACACAUGCAAGUCGAGCGGAUGAAGGGAGCUUGCUCCUGGAUUCAGCGGCGGACGGGUGAGUAAUGCCUAGGAAUCUGCCUGGUAGUGGGGGAUAACGUCCGGAAACGGGCGCUAAUACCGCAUACGUCCUGAGGGAGAAAGUGGGGGAUCUUCGGACCUCACGCUAUCAGAUGAGCCUAGGUCGGAUUAGCUAGUUGGUGGGGUAAAGGCCUACCAAGGCGACGAUCCGUAACUGGUCUGAGAGGAUGAUCAGUCACACUGGAACUGAGACACGGUCCAGGCUCCUACGGGAGGCAGCAGUGGGGAAUAUUGGACAAUGGGCGAAAGCCUGAUCCAGCCAUGCCGCGUGUGUGAAGAAGGUCUUCGGAUUGUAAAGCACUUUAAGUUGGGAGGAAGGGCAGUAAGUUAAUACCUUGCUGUUUUGACGUUACCAACAGAAUAAGCACCGGCUAACUUCGUG
rnacentral:rRNA from 1 species